rnacentral:rRNA from 1 species
CAGUCGCCGCGGUAAUACCAGCACCUCGAGUGGUCAGGAGGUUUAUUGGGCCUAAAGCAUCCGUAGCCGGUUGCAUAAGUUUUCGGUUAAAUCUAUGCGCUUAACGUAUAGGCCGCCGAAAAUACUGUGCAGCUAGGGAGUGGGAGAGGUACACGGUACUCGAUAGGAAGGGGUAAAAUCCUUUGAUCUAUUGAUGACCACCUGUGGCGAAGGCGGUGUACCAGAACACGUUCGACGGUGAGGGAUGAAAGCUGGGGGAGCAAACCGGAUUAGAUACCCCGGUAGUCCCUGUCUCUUAUAC